ACCAACAGGGAUUACCUCAGUAACGGCGAGUGAAGCGGUAACAGCUCAAAUUUGAAAUCUGGCUCUUUCAGGGUCCGAGUUGUAAUUUGUAGAAGAUGCUUCGGGUGUGGCUCCGGUCUAAGUUCCUUGGAACAGGACGUCAUAGAGGGUGAGAAUCCCGUAUGUGACUGGUUGCCUUCGCCCAUGUGAAGCUCUUUCGACGAGUCGAGUUGUUUGGGAAUGCAGCUCUAAAUGGGUGGUAAAUUUCAUCUAAAGCUAAAUAUUGGCCAGAGACCGAUAGCGCACAAGUAGAGUGAUCGAAAGAUGAAAAGCACUUUGGAAAGAGAGUUAAACAGUACGUGAAAUUGUUGAAAGGGAAGCGCUUGCAACCAGACUUGCACGCCGUCGAUCAUCUCAGGUUCUCCUGGGUGCACUCGGCGGUGUUCAGGCCAGCAUCGGUUUCGGUGGUUGGAUAAAGGCCUUGGGAAUGUGGCUCCUCUCGGGGAGUGUUAUAGCCCUCGGUGCAAUGCAGCCUACUGGGACCGAGGACCGCGCUUCGGCUAGGAUGCUGGCGUAAUGGUUGUAAGCGACCCGUCUUGAAACACGGACCAAGGAGUCUAACAUCUAUGCGAGUGUUUGGGUGUUAAACCCAUACGCGUAAUGAAAGUGAACGGAGGUGAGAACCCUUUAGGGUGCAUCAUCGACCGAUCCUGAUGUCUUCGGAUGGAUUUGAGUAAGAGCAUAGCUGUUGGGACCCGAAAGAUGGUGAACUAUGCCUAAAUAGGGUGAAGCCAGAGGAAACUCUGGUGGAGGCUCGCAGCGGUUCUGACGUGCAAAUCGAUCGUCAAAUUUGGGUAUAGGGGCGAAAGACUAAUCG
rnacentral:rRNA from 1 species